rnacentral:rRNA from 1 species
GAUGAACGCUAGCGGCAGACUUAAUACAUGUGAGUCGAGGGGCAGCGGAUCCCUCCGGGGAUGCCGGCGACCGGCGAACGGGUGAGUAACACGUAUGGAAUCUACCCUUAACUGGGGAAUAGCCUUGAGAAAUUGAGGGUAAUGCCCCAUACCAUCUUGAAAAGGCAUCUUUUCUGGAUGAAAGCUCCGGCGGUUAAGGAUGGCCAUGCGCUCCAUUAGCUUGUUGGUGAGAUAACCGCUCACCAAGGCCGCGAUGGGUAGCUGAUCUGAGAGGAUGAUCAGCCACAUUGGCACUGAGACACGGGCCAAACUCCUACGGGAGGCAGCAGUAGGGAAUCUUGGUCAAUUGGCGAAAGCCAGAACCAGUCAUGCCGCGUGCAGGAUGAAGGCCCUACGGGUCGUAAACUGCUUUUAUUCGGGAAGAAAAAGUCUGUUUCCACAGACCUUGACGGUACCGAUUGAAUAAGGACCGGCCAACUCCGUGCCAGCAGCCGCGGUAAUACGGAGGGUCCAAGCGUUAUCCGGAUUCACUGGGUUUAAAGGGUGCGCAGGCGGCCAAGUAAGUCAGUGGUGAAAGCCUUCGGCUCAACCGGAGAAUUGCCAUUGAAACUACUUGGCUUGAGUGCAGUAGAGGUAGGCGGAAUGUAGCAUGUAGCGGUGAAAUGCAUAGAUAUGCUACAGAACACCGAUAGCGAAAGCAGCUUACCACACUGUAACUGACGCUGAGGCACGAAAGCAUGGGGAGCAAACAGGAUUAGAUACCCUGGUAGUCCGCGCCGUAAACGAUGAAUGCUCGCCGUUAUUCCGCCUGAGGAAUAGUGGCUAAGCUAACGCGUUAAGCAUUCCGCCUGGGGAGUACGAUCGCAAGGUUGAAACUCAAAGGAAUUGACGGGGGCCCGCACAAGCGGUGGAGCAUGUGGCUCAAUUCGAUGCAACGCGAAGAACCUUACCUAGGCUCGAACGCUAGGGGACCGCUCCUGAAAGGGAGCUUUCCGCAAGGACUCCUAGCGAGGUACUGCAUGGCUGUCGUCAGCUCGUGUCGUGAGAUGUUGGGUUAAGUCCCGCAACGAGCGUAACCCUUGUCGUUAGUUACCAGCGGGUAGUGCCGGGGACUCUAGCGAGACCGCCUGCGCAAGCAGUGAGGAAGGUGGGGAUGACGUCAAGUCAUCAUGGUCCUUACGCCUAGGGCUGCACACGUGCUACAAUGGUCGGGACAACGAGCAGCCACCUCGCGAGGGGGAGCGAAUCUCUCAAACCCGAUCGCAGUUCGGAUUGGAGUCUGCAACUCGACUCCAUGAAGCCGGAAUCGCUAGUAAUCGCGGAUCAGCAAUGCCGCGGUGAAUUCGUUCCCGGGCCUUGUACACACCGCCCGUCAAGCCAUGGAAGCUGAGAGCACCCGAAGUCCGUGACUCAACUCCGGCGUUCAGCCGGAGGGAGAGCGGCCGAAGGUGAGCUCAGUGACUGGGGCU